GGUAAUCAAAGGGAGCUUUCUUCAGUCCACUCAUAGGUAGCAAGUAAGAUUUAGUUAGCUGCCGAGUCAUUCAUUCAAAUGUUGAGUUAUGAGUAUUAGAUACUACUCAACAAAUGAGUGAAUGAUGCGGGAGACAUAAUGAAUCUUACACUUCUUGUGCUUGGACUGAAGGGAGCUCCCUUUUUCUUCCUA
rfam:Lupinus angustifolius cultivar Tanjil chromosome LG17, whole genome shotgun sequence.